AACGAACGCUGGCGGCGUGGAUAAGACAUGCAAGUCGAACGAGACAAAGUUUGUAGCAAUACAAAUUUUGUUUAGUGGCGCACGGGUGCGUAACACGUGAGCAAUCUGCCGGGAAGUGGGGGAUAGCUCGCCGAAAGGCGAAUUAAUACCGCAUGUGGCCAGGAGGAUCAUUUCUCCGAAGCCAAAGCAGCAAUGCGCUUCAUGAUGAGCUCGCGGCCUAUCAGCUAGAUGGCGGGGUAACGGCCCAUCAUGGCGAUGACGGGUAGCUGGUCUGAGAGGACGACCAGCCACACUGGAACUGAGACACGGUCCAGACACCUACGGGUGGCAGCAGUCGGGAAUUUUUCACAAUGGGGGAAACCCUGAUGGAGCGACGCCGCGUGGAGGACGAAGGCCUUCGGGUUGUAAACUCCUGUCAUGCGGGAACAAGAAAGUGAUAGUACCGCAAGAGGAAGAGACGGCUAACUCUGUGCCAGCAGCCGCAGUAAUAC
rnacentral:rRNA from 1 species